rnacentral:siRNA from 1 species
UUGAGGAGCGCGCUGUACAGUU